ACGUCUCACAUAUCUCACGAUUAUAAGGGCCUGUGUUGGAACUCACAUAGAAUGGCAGACAGACCGACUUCAGUUGUUGGGUACAAAAACACUAAACAUAUGUUGCCACCCCUAGUGCGAGUGCGAUGAUAUGAUAUUAUAAUGAAACCACACGGAGACUAACUGUUAAGUGCGAAUGAAAGCCAAUGAUUUUUUCGUAUUGAAGGCAAGAAAAGUAGUUGAUAAGAAACAUACACACUGCUUCCAAUGCUCAAUCGUUUUUGUACUUAGUGAUUGUGUAUGGUAGAGAGUAUUUGUACCGCUAAGGCAUUCAACAAAGAGAAACCGCGAAAUCACCCGCAAAUAUAAGCAAGUUGCGUAAAAGAGUAUUUGCCAUUCGUGCUCAUUCACCAUUUUCGUUGACACGUUAGACUGCGAUAGCAGAUACUUAUGGGACAGUGCCAACCCAACAAUGAUGUCGUAGCGAUGUGUUUACUGCACGAAAUUCCAAUGGAACGCCUACAAGAAAUUACAUACCAGAUUUCCAAUUGUUCAGUGCCACUACUCAGUCCAUUUAGUAAAUGAAAGUGAACAGCGAUUAGCAUUCCUUUUUCAUAUCAGCUUGUUGAUAAUGUUUAGACUUAUUGACUCCCCUUUAUUUCUAGCAUAUGCUAAAGUAUUUGAUUCCAUUUCAUAGCGUUUUGCGCAGGAAAUCGCGUUGUAGUUCCAGAAAUUCCAUUCAUGCUUUUGAAUGCAACUUACACUUCCGUCCUGCAAGAAUUCAAGUCAGCACAUCCAGCUGGAACAGUCAGUAUUUGUGUUAACUCCGUACCUGCGAUUUCAAAACGGUGCGCGCGCCCCACAGCAUGCUUUAUCGUACAUUUGCACACACGGCUCCAAAAACGCCUAAAAUAACCGGUCGUGUUUUAUGAUUAUGAGGCGGUAGUUUGUGUUUGUUGCGACAAUCGUUGCACUUGGAUUUAAACUGCCACAAACAAUAAGUCAAAAACAGUGAAAAUUAGUUACAGCAACCAGCAGAGUCUUACUGUUAGCUCAUUAAACCUCUAUAUGGUUUAAAUUUUGAUUCAAUAGCAGUAAAAAUGUUUUCGGACUUCAUACUAACAGUUAUUUUGGCUUUAUUUCAAUAUUGUUGCAAUGAUAAAGUACCUUCAAACAUAUACAAAUCCUUGCUUUUAGAUCAAUGUAGCCGCCUACCGUUUAAAGCUUCAUAAAUAUAUAUUUUUUGUUAUUUUAUGAAAAUCCAAAUCAAUUAAAAUUCAGAAUAACGCGUUCAAAUGUUUCAUCUAACAGUAAAACUAGGCCAAUACACCCUUCCUUGUGUGCCGACGGACAUAUUUCGUACACAUACCUACAACUGACAUAUAGAAUUAUAGAGACACGAGGGCAGUGUUUUGAGCAAAGCAUGAUUUUGAAUAAGACUUAUAAAAGGCUUAAGGAGUAAUAUAAAGUUAGAAGACCGAAAAAAAGCGAAUUUUCCUGAUUUUUUUCCGAGAAAACUUUUAAAUGUAUUGAUCCAAAAAUUUGUUCACAUAUUCGUAUCUUUUAACUAUAUUUUAAGACUUAGUAUUAGUAAAAAUAUUUAUUUGGAAAGGAACUAUAGUUCAUCUCUGGGAGUUCCUCUCUACUAUAUCUCUGAACUGAAUCCUCUGAAAUUAUAAAAUCAAAGAGAUUUCGUUAAAGUAAUGUUAAGUCUAGUAACUAAAAGAAGGAAUAUGCAAAAUACAAUUUUUUGACAAAAAUCUCAAAAAAUAAAUGCAAUGCAAUUUUCUGUGUGUAUUCUUAAAUAUAUGUAUGUAAAUUAAGAAAACAAAUCGAAUUUUUGAAAAUUCUAACUGUAUAUAACCUCUAAUUGUGGUAUUUAAGUCUAGAAAUUUUAAAUGUUCAAGCAAAUGUCUAAAAAAUGAGUUUUCGAAAUUCAAACUAUUUUCGGUGAUAUCCAUAGGAAUUUUCCCUACCCGGCGUUCAAAUUACCAUAAUUCGCAAACUUUAAACGCGUUUUUUAGAGAGUCUGUUUUAUAAGCUUGUCAGUGUCUGAAAAUAUCCAUAUCACGAAACCGUCAACAAGUUUUUUUAAAAUCCAUAUCCUCGAAUUUGAAUUUUUACUAAUAAAUACAGAAAUAAUUUUUUUCGCCAUUUCGAGAAUGAAUUUUUCCCAACUUUUCCAUACUUCCAGUCAUUGCUAUAUUAUUCUAGAUUAUUAAUUUUUAUUUGGGUUUCAGACUGUUGGGAUGUUGGAAAUCGUGGGCAUGGUCACGUGUCAAUUUUUUAGACCUCCCACUUUAUUGGCUGCUUAUAUAUAUUUAUUAUAUUUAAAUUUAUUGAUUUCUUAGGAAUCAGCACCGGUAUCUAUAUUUGUUGCUCAAGCAAAAUCGUGUAUUAAAAAAAAAGAAAAAAAAAUGUUUUUAAAUUAUUAAAAUUCUUGAAACACCAAUUAGUCGACCUGUUUUAAUUGCGACGAAUUCUUCAUAAAAUAAAAUGUAAAGCAGAAAUAAUUAUAACAGCGCAAACAUAAGAAAGUAGCUAUACCCGCACACCGCUAGCAGUUUGAACUCGUUUGACAACAACAAUAUAGAACUUUUUUCACUGCCAAAGAAGCGCCAACCAGUUCUCGAUCUACAUAUGUAUAAGCACACAUGCAUACAUAGAACUUAAUUGCUGUUUCUAGGCAUUUGGUGCUCUCUCCGAUGAAGUUGACUGAGUCCUUACGAUUUUGCAUGCCACACACUGUUUUAGUUCUACAGUAGAUGGUUUGUUUGUAUGUAAUUUUCGGUUUUACAAGAAGAAUGCAAAAUACGUUAAGUAAAGCAUAGUCGUUAAGGGCAGAGAGCAUUUGUGCGCCAAAAAAUAAGUAGAAAAGACAAGACAAAUGUAGCUUCACCCCUUUUUUGCAUUGAGGAGCAUCAACUGCAAGCAGACACUAAAUAUCUGGCCGUUUUUAUUCAUUUAAGCCGCCCAACGAUCGUUGUGACAGCACCCAAAGGCAAAUUAGGCGCUAAAGAAGAGCUACGACACACCCUUAAGAUGUUCAGUUGAGCAGCAAGCAGCAGAGGAUGAAGGCGACGAAGAAGCCGCGGAAGCAUGUGUUAUGUGAUUUUGCAUUUUUUUAAUUUGAAUUUGCAAAACUGUUCGUUACUUUUACUUUCCUUCAAUAAACACUCGCACUCGUU